GCCGGGGUGGUGGAACGGUUUACACAGUGGACUUAAAAUCCAUGCCCUGAAAAGGGUUGCGGGUUCGAAUCCCGCCCCCGGCA
rnacentral:tRNA from 1 species